AGAGGGUGCGAGCGUUAAUCGGAGUUACUGGGCGUAAAGGGCGCGUAGGCGAUUUAAUAAGAUUGAUGUGAAAUCCCUGGGCUUAACCUAGGAACUGCAUCGAUGACUGUUGAGCUGGAGUACUGUAGAGGGUAGUAGAAUUUCCGGUGUAGCGGUGAAAUGCGUAGAGAUCGGAAGGAAUACCAGUGGCGAAGGCGGCUACCUGGACAGAUACUGACGCUGAGGCGCGAGAGCGUGGGGAGCAAACAGGAUUAGAUACCCUGGUAGUCCACGCUGUAAACGAUGAGAACUAGAUGUUGGUCAGCAUGACUGAUUAGUAUCGAAGCUAACGCGAUAAGUUCUCCGCCUGGGGAGUACGACCGCAAGGUUA
rnacentral:rRNA from 1 species